rnacentral:rRNA from 1 species
UGGGGAAUCUUGCGCAAUGGGCGAAAGCCUGACGCAGCGACGCCGCGUGAGUGAUGAAGGCCUUCGGGUUGUAAAGCUCUGUGGGGAGAGACGAAUAAGUGCAAGCUAAUACCUUGCAUGAUGACGGUAUCUCCUUAGCAAGCACCGGCUAACUCUGUGCCAGCAGCCGCGGUAAGACAGAGGGUGCAAACGUUGUUCGGAAUUACUGGGCGUAAAGCGAGUGUAGGCGGUUUCCUAAGUCAGGUGUGAAAGCCCCGGGCUCAACGCGGGAAGUGCACUUGAAACUGGGAGGCUAGAGUACUGGAGAGGUUGGUGGAAUUCUCGGUGUAGAGGUGAAAUUCGUAGAUAUCGAGAGGAACACCGGUGGCGAAGGCGGCCAACUGGACAGAUACUGACGCUGAGACUCGAAAGCGUGGGGAGCAAACA